AGUGAACGCUGGCGGUAGGCCUAACACAUGCAAGUCGAACGGCAGCACAGUAAGAGCUUGCCCUUACGGUUGGCGAGUGGCGGACGGGUGAGGCAUACAUCGGCAUCUACUUUUUCGGGGGGGAUAACGUAGGGCCACUUACGCUAAUACCGCAUACGACCUACGGGUGAAAUCAGGGGUUCUUCGGACCUUGCGCGAUUCAAUUAGCCGAUGUCGGAUUAGCUAGUGGGCGGGGUAAAGUCCCACCAAGGCGACGAUCCGUAGCUGGUCUGAGAGGAUGAUCGGCCACACGGAAACUGAGAAACGGUCCAGCCUCUUACGGGAGGCAGCAGUGGGGAAUAUUGGACAAUGGGCGCAAGCCUGAGCCAGCCAUACCGCGGAGGUGAAGAAGGCCUUCGGGUGGUAAAGCCCUUUUGUUGGGAAAGAAAAGCAGCAGGUUAAUACCCCGCUGUUCUGACGGUCCCCAAAGAAUAAGCACCGGCAAACUUCGU
rnacentral:rRNA from 1 species